rnacentral:lncRNA from 1 species
GGAUAUUUAAAAUAAAUAUAUACACUUUCACGUCAUGAAAUUUUCUAUUCAACUGUAUAUCGAUAACUGAUGUUGAGAGUAAAUUUAAAUUGUUCAAGCUGAGCAGCUUGGCACAAUGUCAUCAAGCAAGUCAAGUAUCCAUUCUUCAAUUUUAGGACUUCAAAUUUAGUACAUAGAUGUAUCCAUUUAAUUCAGAUGUAACUAGUGGGUCGCUGAGAGUGUGCAAUGGAAUAAUAAAUUCUGAAGCAGUGAAUCCUUGACCUUUCCAAAGUCCACUUUCCAAUGAACAAUUUUGUAAACAAUGUACAACUGCCCAAUAACGAGAUUGUUCACUAGGGAAAUUAUGUUCUAUUAGGAAUGCAAUCCUUCCAAUGCAAACUUUGUUCUGUUUGUUUAAAAAUGACACAAAUGAUGAGUCC